AUACAUACCUGGCAGGGAGAUGCCAUGAUCAUGAAGAUGAUUUUCCCACAGCGAAGCUUAUUCAUUGCACUCCAGAUGUGCCCCUGCAAUUUCCUCAAAUAUGGGAGACUCAACUAUACAACCUGUGGUAGUGGGGGACUGUGUUCACACUUUCCCAUA
ensembl:snRNA U1 U1 spliceosomal RNA